rnacentral:rRNA from 1 species
GCGCACCAGGCGAGAAUUUUUCUCAAUGGGGGCAACCCUGAAGGAGCGACGCCGCGUGGAGGAUGAAGGCUUUCGGGUUGUAAACUCCUGUCACCUGAGAACAAGUGGCCGAACCUAACUACUUCGGCCUUGAUAGUAUCAGAAGAGGAAGGGACGGCUAACUCUGUGCCAGCAGCCGCGGUAAUACAGAGGUCCCAAGCGUUGUUCGGAUUCACUGGGCGUAAAGGGUGCGUAGGUGGCGCCGUCAGUGGGGUGUGAAAUUUCGGAGCUUAACUCCGAAACUGCAUUCCAUACUGCGGUGCUUGAGGACCGGAGAGGAGACUGGAAUUUACGGUGUAGCAGUGAAAUGCGUAGAGAUCGUAAGGAAGACCAGUGGCGAAGGCGGGUCUCUGGACAGUUCCUGACACUGAGGCACGAAGGCCAGGGGAGCAAACGGGAUUAGAUACCCGUGUAGU